UUCGAUCAGAUUGUAAUGGCACUAGCCCCGGUUUCACGGGUUUCGAUACCCCAACAAUGUGCAAGAACAUCCUCAAAAACGUCUAAUGUGACUUCACCUGAAAGUGCAUCUGGAACCACUCCCAGUGCUGAUUUAGAUGCUGUAGGAACAAACAAAGAUUGUGGUGCUGAAAAAAACGGACAACAGGAUAUGUCCUCUAUUGGCGUUUGAUAGCUCAUUGCUACCUUGCCAGAGGGAUGGGGAGAUAGACUCUGACCCAGAUCUUACUAUAGCCGCCAACGGAUCAAUUCAUUAAGGGCACACCCAGGCAAGGAAGAAUUCUCAAUUAGUCCAUUGAGUUUAGGAAAGGAUGCCAGUUUGGAACAGUUGGUGGAGCAUGGUGAAACACGCUCAUUUGGAGUGGCUGAAACAGAAACGUACUCGAGAGCUACUCAUCUUCCUAAAAGCUCUAGCAAUGCAAGACCUGUCCUAAUGCAAUAAAUACCGGUGCUCUCGAACUCAAUCAGCACAGGUACAGGGCCAGGUGCUUCUCCAGCUCUUGGUACCGUCUCUUGUGCCCCACCUGUAUAGCUAGGGUUAAGUAACCCAUUUAGGAGAAGAUAAGAGAAACACCAUCUGGAAAGGCAAGAUGAGCUUGGGUAUUGUUGUGCCAGGCGCCCACUCAUCAAUGCUGGUGAUUGGCCUUGUAUGGCUGCCUCAUCCCUUUCAGCAGAUGUACUACUUUUUAAAGCAUUAGCUAAUAUCUUAAUGCGGGAGUUUAUAUGGAGAAGAAACAAUCUUCCGCCUAGAUUAACUCAUUAGAAUGAAAUGGUGAGUUUCCACGAGGAGUUCUGGGAUGGUAAAAGGGGUGUAGAUAAAAUAGUCUGUGUGGAUUUGAGUCAUAGUAUCCACUAUGUUUCUAUUCCAUGUCUAUGGAAUACAUUAAAAUUUCUACACAAUCUGGGGGUGAUUUUGCAUAUCUUAAAGGAAUUUCUAUCUCUCCCGAUAUAUAAUGCCGACACUAACCUCCAAAUUCCCCAUUCGAAUUGUAUACCAUUGAUAGGUGAAUUGAGUGACGUGCUCCUACAUCUCUUUUCGCAACAUCAAUUUGAUAGGGAGGUCCUGAGCUGGUAUGAAGGUGUUCUUUAUACAAGAUGGGACACCAAUGUCCUUCUAGCUUCAACACGCUAUGAUUCAUACCAUCUUGACCGUCCUCAAAUUCUGGACAUCUUAAGGCACGUAAAUCUAAGUGGAUUUAUUUCCGUGAUCGAACGUGGUGGCGGGGGCAUGCACGUGAACCCUGAGAAAUCUCAGAUAUUCCUCAGUGCAGAUGGUGAUGUUAGUAUCCCUCAACUAAGCGAAGGUGAGACUGACUAUGAUAGUGAAUGAUUCCGGGGAAUUGGAUAGAGUAACCUAUUCAGAAUAAUGAUGAGUAUCCCCGGGGGCAUGUCCUACUUUGUGAAGUAAGGUUCAAAGAAAGGGAGAGAAGAGAUAGAUGGAUUUGAACCUGGAAUCAAAGGGAUCUGCGAAAGGGAUUUUGAACAAUCUUACGUCCUUGAGAAAAGUAAAAAGAUAGGAAAGGGAAGUAAUGUCAAACCUGAAAAAGAAUAUGGCACAAGAGAUUGAAUAUAGGGAGGAAUGAAUCGAGCAUCAAGUAAACUAAGGCAUCAAGGAAAGUAAGACUUGAGGAUGGAAGGGAGGAAGGAACCAAUAAGCCACCGUCAGUGUACCAGUCAUUGGGACAGGUGCCGUGUGUUCGGUCUACCUGCCUUUAGUACGACCCAGAUGAAAAGAUGCUGGCUUUUCUUAAAGGUUAGGCCAAAUGAUUCUAAGCUUGAGGACCCAUUCUAUCCGGGCCUAAAUGCUGGAGUUUCAGAAUUCACUCUACUUCUUACUAACUUUUGCCGAAUAUAUCCUAUGUGCUUAACACAUUGACGUCGGCGGCUAAGCUUUCUUUUUAAUGGUAAGCCGGGGAUCUAAUAGUCCACUUCACUCUAUCAAACUUGACCUCGAUAUAGGUUGCUUUUUGAUGACUAGUUAAUAGAAUAAGACGGUAUCUAUUAUUUUCUACCUCCUCUACCUAGAUCUCCUUUUCCUAAGGAGGGAGAGAAGAAGGUUCUCCGGGACGGAAGACAUCUCUCACUCGUACAUAUAUGGAUGGGUUUUCUACCGCAGAAAGGGAUGAAACUGAGCAGCAGAGAUUGCUAAAAUAGCAAAGGGGAUCCAGAUUAUUUCAAAACUCCAACUGAAUGAUGCUAUACUCGAAUCUAAUUCUGCUGCAGCUUGACAAGGACCUAUGAAAAUGCUGAUAUCUCGAAUCCCUAUCUUAUUAAAAUGGGGUAGCUUUACUGAAGUACUGCAAGAAAAGUAUGGAAAAAAGCAUAGUUGGUACUUCUUAAUGCGGUACAUAAGCUGGUUAUCCUGACUAACAAUCAUGCCUUGCUUGGAUUUAGGGAUUAGGAAUUCUUAUUGGGAAAGUGAUUGGAUUGGCAUUCAAGUAGGAGUAGAUCCUAUUGGUCCAAAGUAGGCAUUCUUGUAUCAAUUAAAGUAGCUAUCUUCAUGAAAUAAGCACUAAGAUUCUAGUUCAAAGAUAGGAGCAUUAAGCUCUAAAUCCAGUAAGUCCAGCUAGAAGUUUCACUAACUACAUAGGGAACUAUGGACCAGACCAGAGUUAUGACUGGUGUAUUUCAUUCCUACCGUAAUUGAGAUUUGUCCUCGGAAGCGGGUGAUUCCUUAUAGCUUGAUCCAUGUGAUGGCUGUUCUCUGCAAUGAACCACAACAUGUCCAUGGACUUCACAGAGAAUUGAGUGAAUGCACUAAAAACCAAGAAAUGACAUAGCGAGAACUGAGCAGCUCAAAAAGCUUGGACUUCGUAUACAGAAAGUAGAACUAAAAGCAGAUGAGUAGAUAUUGAAUCGAGCAUAGAAAUAAGAGAGUUUUGCUUAGCACUGUUCGGUUCGUCUUUCUUUACAAGUCAAUCUAUGCAUAAUUCUAUUUCUUGCAGCACUGAAUCCGCUUUUGAAAUACAGAUCAGGGGGCAGUAUUCUUAUUCCUUGGCUCGCCACUUAUGAAACAAAACUAGAUAUUUCUUAUUAUUUUCUUAGGAGUUGAGCUCCGCAUGCGGUUCGAUUGAGAGGCGACAAAACCUUAUCCAUUAGUCUUGGCAAUGCCAGGGAUGGAGGGAGUCAUCAGUCGCACAAGCUUAUUGCUAAAGCCAAGAUAGGACAUAAUAGCUUCUAAGUAAUGCCAUUGUACCCGCUUUCAUCAUGCCCAACUCAAAAACCAUUUAUCCCAUACUUCUUCUUUUCUUGUUCCUUCGUAUGAAUAACAGGAAUCCCAGUUUGGAUGGUUGACCAACAUUAUGAUUGUGUAUGAACUAGGGAUUUGGCUCAACACCUGCUGUCUUUCUUGCCCAUCCUUUUGUGGUAUCGAAGCUGUUCAUUGAGAUCCAUAGGUUCACGUUACAACCCACCAAUAGUCGAUUCCAGAGCGGAAGGCGAAAAAGAUAGGACGGGGACCCUUCGGAAGAAGGUAUAUGCCCGUAGUAUCUAGAAAAUAUUCAUGGUUGCAAGAGCGAGGUUAGUCAUCCUCACCAUCACCAUCAAAUACCGGUACUCGCUUUUUCUACAAGCUUGAUUUACGAACUCAAACUUUCGCAGGAAGGUAGUUCCGUAUACCAUCAACGGAGUCAAACCGCUAGAGGGUCACAUAUAUCUAAAUACUAGUUCCGAUCAUACCAGUACUUACUUCUGUGGAGAUACGAGAAAGGGGGAGAAGAUGUGAUUAUGUAUCAUAAAUACUAAGGCCAGGCAGACUAAAAGGGGCUUUUGGAUACGAAGAAGGUUUUCACGUCUUGCUUUGGGUGGUAUGCUUCCUCACUGUUGUUAUUCUGCCCUUUCCCGAUAGUCAACCACCAACGAACGCAAGGAGAUCUGGACCUGCAUGUAAUGUUUUUUUUGCCAAUACUCUAAAGCAGCUUCCUUACAUCAACAUGGGAUUGCAAAAGGGAGGGACUUGAAAAAGGCGACUCCUCCUUAGUAGGAAUAGUAGCUGAGGCUGCUUCAACUCAUAACGAAGCUAUUCCAGCACAUAAGUCCGGGAUGAUCUGAGGUCGCUAGUCUCACAUGGAAGAGAUACGAGCCUCCGCUGGAUAAACACCAGAACUUGUAUCGGCUUCUUUUGUUCGUAACGAACAAGCAAUGGAUUGGGGAUUGCCAAUAGAAAAAGAUACAACCAACCAGCAGCUUUUGGAAACCAGGAUCACCCCCAUUGUAAAGAGAACACGGCACCCCUUUCCGUAGGGGCUCGCAAAGGUAUUAUACUGGAUGUGCGUAGAGAGCUAAUGAAACUCCAUUCCUUUUCUCUAUACUCAAGGAUCUGCUAUAGCUUGCUUUUCCAAGAGUAUUGUAUUGACCUGAUUCCCCAGGAAAGAGUUGAUGGCAUCUCAACGCAAGAAGGUAGAGAAGAAUCCCUAGCAAAGAUGUGCCGAGAGCGAGAAAGCCUGUCUUCCCCGAGAUUAUUUAUUCCUCUUAUUUCUUAUAUGAAUAACUGAAAUCCAUCCUCACUUGUAUUAACUUCAUGAGUAAAGAGAUAGAGAAACCCUCAAUACCGGCACUGCUCCUAUCAAAAUCAAACAAUUGGAUUUGUUUCCCCACUUCCUCCACGGGAUUCGUACAUCGGAUGAGGAUUCCUACAAUGGUACAACGGAUCAAUCCAUUCAAAUCAAUGAAACCAUUAGGUACGCCUCGGGAUCUACUCUAUGUUUAGAUUUGCUAAUGCCGAGAUCCGAUGCGAAAGCAAAGCGAAGGUUGUUAUUCAAUAGUAGUUGCCGAUAAAGGAACAGCAGAACGGGUAUCUUUAGCAAAGCAAUUUGGAUUGGUUGAAUCGUAUUGAGUUCCGGUCUUCUAUAUUGUCUUUCAACCCUUGCUCUUGCCUUGGCUUCGCCUUCCACAUUCAGCUAAGCACCUAACCCGUGGGACGGGACCUUCGGUCUAGCCUUUGUUCGGGUAUGGGACCGACCUGGGAUUCUUCCAUCCGAGUGAGUACCGCCCUUCUGAUUUGGUUUCAGUACGGGACCGACCUUCUCUUUUGUUUGUAAUUGGGCUUGCUCGAAACAAAGGAACUUUGGUGUGAGAACCCACCCGAGUUGGUAACCCAACAUUUUCACCUAUGAUUUCUCCCUCGUCUUCUUUGCCUAGCCUUUAGCUUCUUUCUUGUCUGAUCUUAGAUUUCACUGUUAGGAAAUAGGGCAUUACCUGUCACUCUGCCUUUCUAAGAAGGCCUUUCGCUUAGUUGUCCUUUCUACUAGAACUUCCCUUUAGCAGUUCUAGAACAUCUAUAGUAUGCUUGAAUGUCGGCAAUUUUUCUAUAUUCUCUUCCUCCUCGUCCAUUAGUCCAGUUCCUUUCCUUAGUGAAAUCUGCCCCCCUCCAUCUUCCGAGAACAACAAGAGGGCAUUCUCAAGCAGGCGUAUUCUUCUUCACUUCCUAAGAAGGCAUUUUCUUGCUAACAAGCCAUUCUGGCAAACAAAAGAGCUACUUCUACCAAAGAGGAGCAAAGGCUAAGCGGAACUCCUCCCUUCGUGUCUUCUUCCUUUCCAAGCUUGUUGCGGGGAAUCUGGGCUCUUUUUCAGCCCCUAAGGACUGCUACUUUGAUGAAUGAGGACUGACGGUCUUAAUUCCUAAUGCUACUCCUACUGAUAUUGCUAUUGUUACUGCUUUUGGGAAUUGGCAUCUUUCUUCAUAGGGGCCUAGCCAAGGAAAUCUUUCCCAUUAAAUGAAUGUGCUUGCGUACUCUUCGAUUCCCGCGAGAAGUGUGGGACUAAUUGAAUUUCAUUCUUGUCUGCUAAGAGAGUUAUUCUUCCUUACAGCUUGCAUUCGAUGCAUCCACCGUACUAAGAGCUCCUUCUUGAAGAACCGAUUCUGUAACAACCCCAAAGGCAAUCUAUCUAAAUAAACCUAAAUAAAACUCCCAUUAUGAUUUGAGAUUGCCUUGCCGUUGCGCCCCUUGCCUUUCUAACUGGAUUUCCAGUUGAUGGGGAAGGGUUGGAAAAGAAGCUUGUGUCGGAAGGGAAGUGGAAAACUAAGCUGUUCGGGCUUAACUUAAACCUGAUUGCCCUAGUAGGAGUCAGAAUAAGGUUGAGGCUUGAAGACAAGCAACUGACAUCUCGGAUCUUGCCAUUGCCAGGAGCAUGGAAGCCCAUAAUGCCCUCAGUCUAUGUCUGUCUAUAUAGGCUUUAAGGAAAAAGGCAAGUAAGCCGUAAGCCAUAAAUCAAGGCUUUUAAGGACCUUCGACAGCUUAUAAAUAAUUUAAUAACAGAUCUUUUGCGUCUUUCGAGAUGCGAAGAGAAGUAAGAAGGUUUACUAUUGGGAUAACGAAGAUAUGACCAUAUUUCAGAUCGAUUUUCAACAGACGAGAUUGGAUAGUAGAACAGAGAGAAGGAUUUGCUGCUUUCUUAAAAUGAUAGAGAGUUAGGAAAGGGUCUAUGUUAAUAGAGCUCUUUAGAUAGGGAGAGGAAAGACGUAACUAGACCGCGAAAAGAAUAGAAUCUUUUACCGCUACAUCCGCUGGAGAAGAAAACUCAGCAAAGGAGAUUCCUAUCCUUUCUCUAGUUGAAGACUAAUUUGGAUAUUCCCGAAGAUGCUUGACUUCGAGUUCUUGGAGUGACAGCUUUCUUUGUAAACAAGGGUCCCUUACUCUAUUACUUUUCCACUUCAUUGAUCUGAAAGAAGUGACAGAAGAAAGCUACGUGCAUAUACCCCUGCCCCGGGGGAAUAGGUGCCACCUCAACAGCUAUAUUCUAAAUUGUUAAGCCUCACAACCCUUUCCUUUGUGUCGGACCUUUCCCGCUUUCCUUCCUCACUCAAACUUCAAAAAGUCCUUCCAUGAAUCUAGGGAAGGAAAACCACCUCUGACUUCACCAAGUCUCCCUUUCUUUGGUCGAAGGCUUCAGGUCAAGAUCCUUUUUCCUAUCUAUUGAAGAUGCAAAGAGAGAUGCUUCUUCCUCUUCAAGUUGGAAGUGCAAGAAGAAAUGUGGUAAAUAGGAGUUCCAUCUACCACGCACUCGCUCCACACUCCAGCUAACUUCAGCAUCCAUACUCAGCUAGGAGGAAGGUGCCGGGGACACUAUGAACACACAUGUACUUGGUUGACUUCACGUCCCGUCUCACAACCGGGUAAGAUCAAAUAAACAAACAGCUUGCUUGCCCAAUCCCUAUUGAGAGGAUUUCUUGAGCUUGAACUUCCUUUUGUAGCUCCGCUCACAAGGACUUCUUUUCAUCCGCAAUGAAGCUUAUACCACCACUUUGUCAGUAAGGCCUGAUUCAAAAAAAGAUCAAUCACCCCCUUCCCUACUUCAAUGGAAAAGGGGGAAUCGCCCUUUCACAGCCGCCCCUCCACAAAAUUUAUACCUAUCCUUUCGCCUAAGAUGAUCACGAACAAAGACAGAGAAUUGCGUAGAUAGGAGGAGGAAACGAACCAACCCGAAAAAACAAACAAAAGGGAAUGAGAGAAAUGAUCGGAACGAUUGAGGAAAGAAAGAGAAUGGCGGCCCCUUUCCUUUCGCCCAGGGGGCAUCGUCGUCAGGGAUAGGCUUCGAGGGUUCUUCCAUAUCUAGAUAUAGAGAUAGAUGAUGAUAGAGAUCUAGAUCUUUCUAUAGAUAGAUCCUUUGAGAAAUUUCUAUUGAUCCGCUUUCAAGAUCUAUGAACAAGAGAGAUCCACAAAAUCUCCAUGUAAAAAAAGAGAUGAAUAGAUAGGGCUGAGCCGAUAGAAGGACUGGGUACGAUGAUGGGGCGAGAGAGGGAAAAAAACCUUCGGGAUGGAUCGGGAAAAGUGACCUCCGGCUCAGCCCACGACUUCCUUCCCUUCGCAUAGCUCAGGUGACUCCCUUCCCCCUUUUUUCCCAGAAUGAAUUAGCCCGACACGACGAAUCCUACCCUCCUGUCUUUCUUUCUCAUUGAAUGAAACACUGCCUGGGACGCCCCUAUGCCUAUGAAUUCAAUGAUUUAAGGGCCCCGGGAGGAAAUUUCGGAAAGAAAGCCUACUGGUUGGUCUGGUUGUCCCUCGGCGGUGCCCGGGCGGGCCUCGGUUCAAUCUUGCCGAUUCUACCUAGACAUGGCUCAAAAUGAAGGGGUUGGGCCAAGUGUUCUUAAAACAAAACUCGAAGUGCACACUUUGGAGCACGGUAUUCCGUUAGGUCCUUUACGGACAACGAAAGCCCCUUUAUACUCUACUCUUCGCCUCCUGUUGUUCUGUUCUUUUCUUUUGGAUCGGCGGAGCUGAGCUGUGUUCCAUUACACUCUGUAGGAAAUGCAUAGACAGUCCAUGCAGCAAACAGAGGCCCUCCGUGCGCUGUACGUACCGCCUACGAAUAAUAGGUAGCCCCACCCCAGGCAGAGUUUGUGAGUCGUGUAAUAGGCGACCAUUUCGCGCGGUUCGGGGGCACUUGAAUAAGCCGCUGGCACCCGGCUGCGUCUUUACCCCUAUCCAAUUUUUGGGCCAAUUCCACCUUCAUACUACCAAAAAAUGAGAUUCUUGCCGAAUCCGAGUUUGCUGCCCCAACCAUUACAGAACUAAUACCUAUUCUGUUUAGUACUUCAGGUGCUUCUCUAGCGUAUAAUGUAAAUCUCGUAGCAGAUCAAUUCCAACGAGCCUUUCAAACUAGUACUUUUUGUAACCGACUCUAUAGCUUCUUCAAUAAACGUUGGUUCUUCGAUCAAGUUUUGAAUGACUUUCUAGUCAGAUCGUUCAUGCGUUUCGGAUAUUCAGUCUCAUUCAAAGCUUUAGACAAGGGUGCUAUUGAGAUAUUGGGCCCUUAUGGUAUCUCGUACACAUUCCGACGAUUGGCCAAGCUAAUAAGUCAUCUUCAAAGUGGAUCUGUUGGGAAAGAGUGCUUUAUGAACCAUGGCUGCCUACCUGCUUUGGUUGGUGGGGGCGGCUCCUCCGUUGUGGGUAAACGGGAAACCCGACUCUACGAACCCGAGGAAAGGCUGCACAGCUUCUGUAGGGGCGUUAAGACCGGAGCUUUUUGUAGUGCUAGCAGGAAUGCAAGUGAAUGAAUCCAAUCCCAUCCCCUUUAAAAUCGGCGAGGUAAUACCUUAUUGAAGUAGGGCAUGCUACGGCAACACAGGACUGACGGGGUGGGGGCUUGCUGUCUACUUGGCGAGCCUUCACUGCCCCCUUCUGUAACUUCCCUUUUUACGUCCGUCCACGAGGCAGUCAAAAGAAAGAGAGAAAGGGGCGGCUACAACGCAGGAGUCGUGGCGGUUGUAUGCCACAAGGUCCCUAUAGACAAGGGGACAAGUGAAUCAUCGCUUUUGGGUGCAGGCAGCCCUCUACCAUCCAUCCCAUUGCAUUCCUCUCGUAGAGUAUUGUACCGUCUCAGACCAGAUACAUCUAUGGAAAGAAAGGAUUUCAUAGAAAAUCUGCAUUUUUCUAUUUUUUUAUCCCCAUGCAUUCCGUUAUUCCCGUAACUAUGGAUUGAUUGUCCCUACCUAACUAAAUGGUAGUGGUCUAGGGAGCGCAAUUGCUAGAGCACGGGAGAAUGAAGAGCAAUGAUUUAAGCAAGAGCAGCCGGAUGGACUACUAUAGUCAGUCUAGUGACUACUAUAGUCUUUUCUUUCUUUGUAGUUAAGUAAUAAUGUUUGGUAUAGCAGCCUUUCUGAGCGAGUCUCUGGGAUCUCCUGUAAACCCCCAUGAUGUUGUAAAGGGAGGAUAUUAGGGGAAGCAGUGAUUGGAGAUUCCCCUGCAGAGAGCCGGAUGAGGGGAGACCCUCACGUCCGGUUCGGACGGCGGGGAUAUCCCGACCCUACUAUCAUUAUCCCUUUGAAUGUUACCUGGUUCAACUCCAUUUCUGACCUUUUCUCAUAUGUGGGACUCUCUAUCUUCUUGGGUAGAUUCUAGAUCAUCUUUCAUUUUGUUAGUGAGUAGUUUUCUUAUUAAUAAGUCAAGUCAAGAGUAAUAAGAGAACUGUAGGAGCUUGCCAGGACGGCUUGGUAAGCAAGCUACCUGUUAUGUAGCCGCCAACUCCCAGUUCUUUCUCUUCUUUCUUUUUGAUUUUUUAUUCUCGUCUUUUUACUAAACGUAUAAUCUCCUUUCCGGGGAAGGGGUAACAUAGACGGAGGCACAUGUAGACAGAUACAGACUUUUUCAAUCUUUUGCCUAAGCGAAGUAGUUGAUCCCUCCGAGGUAAGGGCGAAUCGAGACUGAAAGCUACUAAUAAAAUAGCAUAAUCUGAACACAUAGCUGAACACAUAGUUUAAGUAGAAACUGUUAAAGCUCCUUGGUCUCAAAACGGCCGGCUUUGGUUCAGCUCUCGGGGCCACCUUACACACUAAUAAAAUCGUCAGCUUCCUUCCCCACUCAUCUCCCUCACUUUAAGACAAAAAAUCCAAUUCGAUUCAAAGAACGGAGUCAUACCUCCAGCGGGCAAGGUCGGCUCAAGAAAUGGAAGUUGUGAGAUGGAAAGAAAACCACGAAAAAAGAACUGAAUUAGGGAUCAAUCCAUACACGGCUUGGCUUCUCCCCUUCCCCAUAGUAAGCCAGCCAAUAGAAUAGUACCCUAAGUUAAGAAGUUCUCUUAGCUAGCGCAUGUCCAUUAAUGUGACCACCGCAUGCUCCUGCAUGAGUUUCAUGAAUGGUUUGUUUUCGAAUCCUAUCUCUCUGGGGAAAGGUAUCUUUUUUCAAUUCGAACAACGGUAUCCCUACCUGGCAAACUAUCCUCGUUUUCGAAGUCCCUAGUUUUGUCCUCUACUGUAGUAUUCUGGUUAGUAGACGGCUUCCUUCAUCAGAAAUCUAGCCAGUGCUUUCCAUUAGGUGUGCAACGAAGGAUAGCCUUGCUUUUCUUCUGAUUCUGAUUCAGUCCAAAGAUAGAGACAAAAGAAAAGUAAUUAUUGAAUCAGACUUGGCUUCUUUUUUGGCAUGGGCAAAGGUUUGGCAAUUCCACCAUUAGCAAAGGUUUAAUUGGUUGAUGGUACCCUUGGCGAAAGGCACCUGGUGAGAGUAGCUGCUGCUGCUGUGCUACCUCCAACUAUGAAGUUCAGCACAUGAACAAUACACAGUACUUUGUUUCCAAAAACAAUACAGAGAACAAGACCACAAUAAAACAAUUUAAAAGAACUACUUUUAGGCAGCAGCAUCUGGACAACAGGCUUAAAAGCUUCCAGAAAAAUGAUAGCACAGACAGCCGAAACAAUUUUCCUAAUAUUUCUUUAACUUGACCUUUUUGCAGUACAUCUAACAGCAUAUAGGGGAAUGCCUUUUUUAUAUUACAUUUGCACCAAACCAAGCUAUUCUUAAUACUAAUUCCUGUGCAUAGAUACUUUCCAAAGUGCUGAGAAUAGCAACAGAGAGAAAAUGCUGCAGAAGAUAUCACAAUUGAAUUACUAACCUGGUACUUGUUCAUAGAUUUUCUAGCAUCUUCAAUAAGCUUUGAUUCUUACUCAAGUAGUUUGGUUUGUAGUGUAGUUUUUUUUUCUUGACUCUAGUAGUGUCGUUAGCAUGCCUUCCGUUCCGUGCUUGUUUAUGCACUUUUGAAUUAAAGACGACCUUUCAAUUCAUUAUUGACUGGAUAAAGUAGUAUUAGUUAAUAUACACUGAUUCAGACAAAUCAAAAAUAAGAGACAGUCUUUUUCGAUAUUGUAUGCUGGGACAGACCUGUAGGUGAGCACAAGCACAGCCAGCCUUCCACCUCUUUAUACUUAUGCUUAGCGGUGUACCUGGUCUUACUUAUUUUUUAGUUUACGCUUAUGUCCCAAGCUUGCAAGUCCUAAGAAGAGUAUUGUAUUGACCUGAUUCAAGUUUUUUGCCUACCCGCCGUUAUGUCUUAGCUAGGAAUGAGCUGUGAACAAAAUAGAAAUAGUUGUUACUUGAGUCGAUAAUGACUUUGUGUUGGUUUGCUAUUUUCUAUAAAUUGGACUGGUACCAUGUAUUGUAACAUAAGCUUUUGUAUAAGAGCUGAGAUGUAGUUAAGAUUACACUGGAUCCUCUCUCUGUUUUGUUGCUUCCUUCCAUUAUCUACAACAACUAGUAUCAACACUAGGAACCUUCACGGUCAGGGUUGAUUUUCUUAGACCACUAUGAACACUUGUAAUUGGUUCUUUCUACUUCAGGCAUGGUUCUCUCUAGUUAGUGGAAGAGUGUACAACAUAGGGAUUGGUAUCAGUCACACAUUUAGGAAAGAAAGUGAAAGGGGAGGGCAAGAGCGGUUCGAAGGUCAAUGAAAUGAUAAAAAACCACCAGGUCGAGUUUGCUUCUCCCUUCCUUUUGGUGUUUAGGAUGUGAAGUUUAUAUAAGAAGAGAGGAAAGGGGAACUACACUAAAUGGAUAAUUUUAUCCUGGUGAUGGGCUAUUCCAAUGGGCAUGCAUCUGAGAUAUGGGCUUUGAGCGUAGGAACGCCCACCUUUACAAGAGCUCAGUUCUAAGAUUGUUUGCGCGUAGGCACCACUACCAUUCUGUCUUUUCUUGUUAUGCAUCCGGUCCUAGAAAUCUUUUUUUUUCUGACCAGAGGAAGAGAAAUAAAAACGUCACUUCACUCGCCUUGGGGGACCUAAUUAGGAGCUGAUUGAUUUUUUAAUAGAUAUGAAGAUGCCUUGAAUGAACCCAAGCAAGCCGAAAUAGAAUACUAUAAGUAUGAAGUGGACAUCUAUGGUUUAAUUGGAAACAUCUCUUUUCUAUUUAGAUUUUGCAAGUGCCUCCCUUUGUGGCAGAGCGAGCGCCUUGACUAAGAUAGAUUGACUCUUUCAUUCUUUUUUUUAUUUUAUUCUGGUUCCAAUCGUUUGAGGAAAACCCCCUUUGGCAUCAAUGAAACUCCGUUAUAUAGGAGUUCAAAAACCUCAUUUCGUUUGAGAGAUAGUGGAAUUUCUUCUUUCAACACGUACAUCGACGAGGGUGUCGAUGACUUGACUGAGGAAUGGUCAUGUGCUAGAGGCCGUACCUUUGGAGUAAGACCUCAACAAGGGGGUGUGCAGUUUAAAUGUAAAUGAUGAGCAUGGAGAGGCCAAGGUCAUUUGUAAUUAGGUGUGGCUGAUGCAAGAAGACUGGCGAGCUGUCCAUGGUGAGAAAAGUUGUGAUGCUACUGCAGGGGGCAUCCUGGUGUAGUUGAGGGCACAGAACUUCUGUGCGGGUACAACUGGCACUUAAAAGACCUUCCGUGUAGAUGAGUUCUCUUGAGUGAGACUAAUCGAGUUACGAAGAAACCUUUGCGAUGGUGCUGUGCAGUUGGGUUCUCUAUGGAGGAACUUCGUUGUGGGGACCAAGGGGUCUUCUUAAGAAGAGUUGCUUUGAUGAAAAGAGUGUAGCCAUGAUGGCAAGUCAAGGUGGGGCCCUGUGAAGGCAAGCCUUGUGUAUGUUGGCGUGAUGACGAGAGAAAGGAAAUGCCCAGGAACAAUAGUUGUCCGUAGCACACCCUGCAAUGACAUCGACCAGCGGACCAGCCUAUCCAAUACCCGACGCCAUGACCUUAGAAGUUCGUACCCCAUGAUAUUCAAUGACACCCGUAGACAUUUGAUCAUUCAUACCUCACAGUACGCUUUCUUUCUUUUUUUGGACUUUGAAUUCCAAGCGAAGGAAGCUCAGUGAAUGAUAAACUGGGAUUUGAUAGCAAGAAGAAAGCAAUCAUAGUACGCGGCACACACCACUGACGAAUGGGAUUGACGUCCCAAACCAACACAGGUUCAAGACUAAGUGCAGAACCAAGAAUGUCGUGGAUAGAAAAGUGAGUGCUUCCUCAAGCUUCAUGAAGGAAGGGUCCAAGGAUCUAAGCGACAACCUCUACGAAAAAGAAAAACCUAUAUAUAGAUAGUGGUAUGUGUUUGCUGACACUAAAUAGACUUGGCUCGGGGCAGAACUAAGUGGCUAGGCUAAGUUCCCUAGUCUUCUAUUGGCCUACCCACCCCUACGACAUGGAGGCGCUUACCCUUCUCCAACAAGCAUUCCACCACGCGGCGAUUGAUUACCGCUUUCCGUCUCAAUCCGUUCCAGACCAAGCCCCUUCUCUGAUCGGGGGAAGCCAUUCUAAAACAUCAGAUCUCCCUUUGAUGCUGAUCAAAAAUAAGUUUAUCCACCUAGAAUAUAUGAUAGGUACCGAAAGAUUGGAUGUCAUUUCUCAACACCAGGCGGGACGAGCAGCCCUAUACCACGUGUAGCCACACUCUAGUGUCCUUUUCUACUUAGUUGGAUAGAUCACUUCAUAAAAUCGUACAAAAAUCAAGAAAGAAAAUGGAUGCGCUAACGCGCAACGGCUUUCGCUCUAGUUGCUCAAAAAACCGUAUAAAAAUCAAGCAAGAAAAAGGUUCUGGCAGGCUGCGUGGGACUGUAAAUCCUCUUUCGCUAGCUGGGCCCUUUGGACUCGAAAUCCAAACGGAGUGAGUGGUUCGAUUCCACUCUCAGAGCGAGACUGAACGAAAUAAAAUGCAAGUGAAACGAGACGAGAAUCAAAUUGUAGGCUUCUUUCCUAAAAGCGGUGGUUCUCGCCUCCCCGUGCCCAAAGCGGGGUGGGCGACAAUGUUGUGGUUCUUUUCUUUAUCGAUCGGGUAGAUCCAUAUGUUCUGAGGGGGGACAAGGUGUAGUGCAGUCUGAUCAGCGCAUCUGUCUAGGGUACAGAGGGCCAUAGGUUCGAAUCCUGUCACCUUGAUGUGGUAUUCACACAAUGGGGCCGAAGUGCAAAGCCCAGCAACCUAUCCGUGGUUGGGCAGGCAGGGGUAUUAAAAGUGAAACUUGGCUUGCGUGUGCGCGCACACAAAGGAAACUGAGUUGGAUUGCAAAGCCUCUCAGACGGAAGGAACCCUUUUUAAAAACCCCUUUCUACAAUCUUGAGAAAUAUCACGCAAGCAACUACACGCUGCAAGUCUUCGGUAUUGUUCGCAAGGAAUUUGAAAAGAUUGACUCCACUUUUUUUCUUUUCGAGCAUGCCAAGCCUCCAGUAGAGUGGAGUUCUGUGCAUGAAGUAGGCGGAGUUUACAAACUAGUGAAUGGUUAAAUGAAUAGGCUCAUUUCAUCAGGGGUAACCAAGAGUAAGAAUGAUUUGAUAAAGUAAACAUUCCCUUUGAGUGCGGUUCCUUCAGAACAAGCUCUUCCCUUUUCAGAUUGCUUCUUUGGGCCACUUGAGCAUCGACUGGGCAAGGUUGGAUUCCCUCUACUUCGGGUGGCUAGUAUUUCUCAACAAUGUUUUUUCAUUUGAUCCAAUAGCCCUCCGUUAGAUAGGAAUAACUUUGCUAAAUACUGAGAACUCUCGAAUAGAAUAUGAGAAGGGAAAGAUCCUUUACAUAAGGAACUAUUGAUCAUAGGCGUACACUCUGAAAAGAAUUGAAUGAAACUCUCUUGUUUCGUCAACUUUGAUAUCAUUAGCUGUCUCUGUAGCUGGCUCUCAUGUCUGGCAUUCCAAGUAAAAACUUUUCAACUAGCUGGGUCACCGCUGUUUUAAACCCUGACUUGGAAUCAGAGCCAUAAACGAGUGAUUCGGUCGGACGGGCGAUUGAGUUCUUAAAGCUUGGAUCGGCACUUCUUGUGUUGAAACAAACACGCUGUUGCUAGCGCCCUCAACACUAUCUUCGAUCCUUCGCAAACAUAGCUCCUUCUACGGGAGAUAACUUUCGAUCACUUUCAUCUCAAUUCAUUUCAUUGGCUGGUCGAGUGGAUGAUUAGACACAGGCGGAGUAUUCAAGUUGUCCCUACUAACUAACGGGUCUAAUUAUCGCUGGGUCACAGGCUCCUUCGAAGCAAACAUUCGCAGCGCCCCUCGCAUUCAAGCUCUUCCUUUAUCCUGCGGCCUGCCCUCAAGCAAAAGCAAGAUCUAGACAAGAGUGAAAAGCAGUCAGAAUAUUAAUAAUCUAAAAAGGCCUUCCUUGGUUGUGUAGCUAAUCCCCCUCCUUGACAAGAACAUAAUUUUUGCAUCUUCAAACUGGUUAUGGGUGAUACCCUCAUUCCCCAUUAACUCACUAGAAAGCCCUUUGAAUAAGCCUCAGGAACACCCAUUCCUUUCGGAUCAGGGGGUGGUUGUUUUAACUACUCGUUCGGGGAACAUUAGACAAAGUUACUUAUUUGAGAAAGUAAAUGAACCUGAAAUAGGACCUAUGUGAUAGUUUGCAGCAUGAGCAUGUAGAUGCUGGUGAUGGUAUCAGAUCUGAGGACCAAGAAUUUCAAAAGGAUAGUAUUAGACUCAAUAAGAAGCUUUCAAAACAUAACUUCUCAUAUUUGGUCUGUGGGCUACCACGCUUAAGCUUUCUUAUCUUACUCUUUCCACAAACGUUAGGACUUAGGCGAGCUGCUGAAUAUGAGACAAUUCUUUCUCGACCGUGCGUGGUCUUCCCUCGGGGAUGGGAGAAUAUAGAAGGUGGGUGGGUGGAUCUCUAUUCUCCAUAAGGAUAGGGUUGAUUUGAUUGGCAUUCACGCCUUUUAGAAAGAGCCACUCAAUGCAAUUCUCUUUUAGGCGAAGAGAGUAUGCCCAACUGGAGUGGUUUCCGCCUAUAUACCUACUAAUGUAAUCUCCAAGAUGGACAAAUCUUCUUAUCUGCGGAUCUAUUCCAUGCCGGAAUUCGACCUGCUAUUCAUGUGGGUAUUUCACUUUCCAGAGUAGGAUCAGCGGCUCAAAUGUGCCGCAAUGAAACAAGUAGCUGGCAAAUCCAAAUUGGAACUAGCUCAAUUCACAUAGUGACAAGCCUAUUAUUCGCCUCUGCUCUCGAUAAAACUAGCCAGAAUCCAUUGUUUUUAUGACGGGAAUUGCUUAAACAAUCCCAAUCAAACAUUCUCCAGUGGAAGAACAGAUAGCUACUAUAGCUACCGUAACGAUGGGAUAUCUUGAUUCGUUCGAAAUUGGACAGGUCAAGCUAUUUCUGGACUGGAUGAGUUACGUAAACACCUCAAAGAUACUCAUUCCAAGAAAUUCGAUCUUCUAGCCAGCUUCUAGCCAGGUGGAUAAGGAUGGAAUCUGGUAUCCAAGAAGAGGAUGUUGGACAUUCUUCAUCCCGGAGGGCCGGGGAGAGGAGAGAUAGCAUCACUCUGACUUUGCUAGAAGGAGGAAAAUGCAGAGUUGGCUUUGGGAGAAGAGAAGGAAGCUCUCAGGUUUAGUGAUUCAUACCUGUCCUGUCUCUUGUUUCCAGGGUUUCAAUUUCCGGUCCAGAGCUAGUCUACUUAUUUAUUUUAUACGGAAACGGAAUUUUGCAUAUUAUACGGAAUUUGCCAUACCAGGUUUUCCUAGAGUUGAGGAAUUCUAUCCAUUCCAGGAAAAGCACUGGUUUGAGAAACUACACUACAGGGAAGUACUAAGGAAUAGGAAGCUGCUACUUAUACUUCUUAUUCUUGUCCAAAGAUGCCAGGCCGAGACAGAAACCCAACUAGUGAAAUAGAACGGAUCUCUCUAAUAAACUGGGGUUCUUCUCUUCGGGUUGCUGGUAUCCUUAUAUGGAUCUGUCUUGUCUCCUCAGCUUGAUAAGCUAGCAAAGUCAGUUUGUUGGAUUGGUCUGUCCGGUCUGCCAGUCAGGAAAGCACGUCAAGUCGGUUAAUAGCUCUAGUCUGGUAUCUAACUCGGUGAAUUGGUAUGGUCUGGAGGCCCGGCAAUAACAAUAGCAAACAGGUCAGUUGUUCAAGUCCGUCUGGUUGAUAGGUCAGCUCGGUAUAGAAUCUUGUCUGGUUUCUGAAGUCGGUAAAGUCCAAUCAGUAGAGUGCCAGUUAAGUUCCUCAAGUAAGGAUCUUUGAUUCCUCCAAUUCGGUAGGUAAUCAUAAUAGUCUCAGCUCGGAAUGUGAAGAUGCUGCUAAUCUGUUAAAGGGAUCUAGAUCGCAUUUAUUUGAUAUGCGGCCCUUCUUCAACCCCGGAUGUGUACCUGACGCCAGGGAAUAACGUAGUUCUAAAGUAGUGACUCAUGUCUUGGAGGUCGUCCAUCCAAAUGUUCCUCUUUGCCAUUGGCCGCGUCUACUCCUAUAACCGAAUCGAUGGCCUAUAGCGCCAUGCCAUAAUGAAAUUCUUGAUCAUUUCUUUGUUCGUAACAUGGCGUAGUGUAUCACUGGGUGCCACAAUCCCAUUCAAUUCUUGUCCAUUCAAUACCAUGGAUAUAUCGAUUUCUAUUUUCAGAAAGCUCCUAUUUCGAUUGAUAUCUCUAGCAAAUAUAUGCAUAGCGUAUGUCAAGAUAAAGUAAAUCAAUCCGUAUGACGGCAGGGAGCGGAGGCAGCUUCAACUCAAGUGAGGAGCAAGCUUACCUUGGGCGGGUAGAUUGAUCGGCUCCUUCAUAUCUCGGGAUUUCGCUUAGGCCACCCAGGCCAUACCAUAGAAAAAAGAUGUGGUUUCCUUUCCCUCAUCAACCUGCCGUUCUUUUAUUUCACGAAAGAAUCUUUCCGUCCGUAUUGAGCAACUCAAAUUCCUAGAAAGCCGUUGGUGCACCCACCCAGUGAGUAACUACUAAUGCAGUGAGUAACUACUAAUGUUACGAACAAAGAAACUUUCAAAAAGUGGACCCAACAAGCAAAGCAACGGAUUGUGCUGCACUGCCUUUCGGCGUUUUAGUUAGGCGCAUCCUCUUGAGGGAUGAAAAUCUGCCAUAGCACGCUCCGUGCCUUUGAAGGAACAUUUGCUCGAUGAUGGUCCUACCCUACACGGGCUUACUAACGAUGGCCAAGCAUGCAGUCAUUCCUGUUCUAUUUGAUAGGGGAAGCAAGCUAGUCAAAGAAGAAGGAAGCAUGGGUAUAGGUAAGUCUAGACAUAUUGACACGGGCGUAUACUGAAAUAGGCAUAAGGCCGCUAACGCUAAGGAGACAACACCACUUCUUUGUUCGUAACUAGGACAUGUAUUGAUGCUAGAGGCAGACUCCUGACACUUAUCACUCCUUAGAUGAAGCAAGACAAGAGUGAGUCCGCUAAGGGACAAGUAUGACUAAAAAAAUGAUGGCAGAUUUUUAUGGAAACGGUUCUAUUUGAGUAUAUUGUCUCAUUGGGUUUGUCAUUGUCGAUAGCUAUUCUUGUCGCCGUUUGGGCUGGCCGGAUGAUCCAUCACAUAAAUGCUAUUAAUGUUGAAACACAAGUAACUAAUAUAUCCAAAGAUGUUCUUAAAGAACAAAUCAUUUAUCAAUUGGAAAUACUCUAUAAAGUCUAUAAUGAUACUACUGAGGGUGUGCACUUACCAGCAGGAGUCAAUCUCCAAGAAGUAAGCACACAUCUCUUUUUUGUAGACGAGAGAGUGAGCCUUCUAAACAGUAUCUACUAUGAUCUUAUUGCAAAGGGAACUGGAAGUGAAUAAUUUGGCCAAGUUAUACAAUUUCUUCUGGGAUAGCUUGUUGUGGGGCUUCCCGAAGGGUCGUUCUGAGAGUGGUCUCUUUUCUUUAAGGUUGCAUAUAUUCUCAGAGAAGGGAGGGAUCCAGGCCAGGUCUAAAAGUGCCGAGUUGGGUUUGGGACAAGAUCAGGAAAUAGUGCAUCUUAUAUAGUGGGUGCCAACUUGAUUGCUGCUGGGAUUGCUUGAUAGGAAACUUUGAUUGAUACGAGCAGAUGUGAAUGAAUUGAAAUAGUCAAUAGUGGUGAUAUGAUCCCGGUAUCUACACUCGGAUCUACUUCUGCUACCGAGACUGCAGCUACUGUAAAAGCAUCAGGAAUGUGUCAAUUCACUGAAUAAAGUGCUCUUUCCAUUGAUUUAUGGAUGAAAUCACGACAAAGAGAAGGAACCACCGAUUCUGCAUCAAGAACAGGGGUUCUGGAGCCAGUUUCUCAAAUCGUAAGUAGAUCCAAUCCAGGGCAGUUGAUAAGUGAGGUUCUCCGGUCGAAUGCAAAUAAGCCAGAGCGUAUCUCUUGUUUCGAGGAAGAAACAAACAUCCUGGUCUCAAUAGAUCUUGAUUCUAGGCAUGCCUCAGACACAUCACCAGCCGGAACAAACGAGUGCUUUCAACUCACGAGCCGGAACAAACGAGUGCUUUCAACAAUAAGCAAUACCCGAGAUUCCUUCUACCAACCAGGAUUCCGAUACCAAUUCCAAUCUGGAACAGCACAAGGAAGUAGCGCACCAGAAGAACCAAUACGAGAACCCUUCCUUCCAGCCAGAAUCCGUCUUUCUUGUCCUUUGCAUUCAAGGAAUGGGAUCUGCCUUGUGGAAACAAAAGCUAUUUGUUCGAGUCAAGCAAGCGGACAAUCAACUAAGAAUACUGGAAGAGAACUCUCUAGCCCUGCACUUAAACUAGACUAGAAAUCCGAAAAAACACUAGUUUUGGCCAUAGCAAAAUAUAGUUUUUCUUCUCCGUGGACUCCCCAUGCUUGGCGCCAUAGGCUUUAGGACUUUUGGCACUAGGGACUCAUACUUUGAUCAGAUCCGUGGACAAGCUCCCGAGGUCAAAUCGGAUUAUGGACUUUUCCAGCUAAGUGAAAAUGCACUUCACUACUAGCAAAGAAGUCAGCUCAGGGCAGGGCCGGUGGUAAUCUCAGAUAGGAACUUGCCGGGAUCCUUCCAUACCUGCCAUCCACCACUACUACUGAUCGUUUCCCAGAACGAGCCAUACCUUUUCCCAGAAUGAGAAUACGAGUGAGGACGAAUAGCGGCGCCUAGCUUUAGUUUCCACACGACACGAUGGAUCUAUCACUCUCUUUAGCCAGGCCAUUCUCUAGAGGAGACUUCCGAGAAUGAAUUCCAAUCUGGUACCAAUCGUAGAAAUCGUAUUGUAGAGUUCUUCUCACGCCUAGCACAGCUACAAGCAUUCCUCGAAUGCAGAGACAAGACGGAGGAUAUCUGAUCCCGCGGAACAUCUGCUACCAACUACGGAUUACCUUGUUUCCAUCAAAUCCAUGUUUCUGGCACCUUGGCCCCCUCUACCUACGAAAUUCGGAUUCCUAUGGUUGAAGAAAGUACAGCAUUGUCAAUUCAACCUGAAAAAAGGGGAAUAAGUUGACAAAGUCAGCUUGAAUAUUACGGUAUGGAUCAAAGGAAGCUAUACCCGCCUUGAUUUCUAUCAAACUUAUUAGAUAGUAAAGCAGACAAGUCUAAAAUGGAAUGUUUGAUCAGUAUAUGUAGGGCUCUCAAAAGUGAAUCUAUUUCAGCAUAGUUGAUUUUCAGAAGCCAACUAGAACUUUGCAGCUGCCGUAUAGUUGAUUGUUCCCACCAGUUUCGUUCUCAUCUGGUCAGUUUCACGAAUGCAAGGAUUUACUACGACUAUCAGGUGUAAACCUUGGUCGUAUACAACGGUGAACUAGCUAAAUAUAGUUAGAGGAGUAAUAUAGCUAAAUAUAGCUAUAGGGCAUUCCACAGAGGUGAAAUUCUCUCGACAAAGCAGAACAAGAAGCAGCAGAAAGCAAAACAGUAUAAGGGUCGUUCGGAGUUCCAGGCACAAAACAAUUCUAUAGAACUGGGUAUACCAAACAGUUGAUCAACAAGGCAAAUGUCCACUAAACCAGCUAAACGGCUCACGAAUUGUUUGGAAUGCAACGGAAAAUGUGAUCUCCCAGCAAUUUCUCGAGUCCAAAACCUCACCCAUCUACAUAUAUCAUCAUCUGCGGCAAGAACAUAGCAACACCAAAAUCCUACCAGCAACUGCUGCAAUACACCCUCCUCACGACAGCCAACCAUCGACGGUGUCAGACUAUGAUUCCGUUGCUGUACUACUCCUCUUUGUUCUGUUUCAUGUUUUUGGCGGUUUCAUUCUUGUGUCUGAGUCCGAAGAAGACGGUGGAUGUUGAUCCAGUAGCAAAAUUGUGCUUCCUGUUGCGGGAUUUAUGUAUCGUGUCGUGCGUAGAUACGGACGACAUGGAAAAAAUCCAGGUUUAUGUACGACAUGCUCUUUCCUUCCUGCAUUCGGUGACGCACAGAGGUGGCAGAGUCUUGUUCCUGGAGUCGCUCACAACUUUUGGGAGCACCGAGAUCCUGAAUAAGAUGCUGCACGAAUUAGCUGAGGUGUUGGGAGCCCCCAAUAGAGAAGGACGAUGCGGAAAGGGAUGAUGGGAAAGUGACAAGACUGGACUUCGACUCGUUUAAAAAGAGUUGUAGCCGUACGGAAUUCCAAUUGGAAUGGACCCAUCUCAUGAUACAAGUUACCCUGGAUUUCUUUCUAUUCCUAUUUCGCUGGGCAAUUCUAGUUUUUGUUAUGAUGAUCUCAUGGAUAGUAGUAUUGAGUUCUAUAAACAGAAUGAUAGUAGGUUUUAAGAUAGCUUAGCCCUUGCUAUGAUUCAAUUUGUAUUGGAGAAGAGGGGCGCCAACCCUAUGGGGAAUGUAGCUAUGAUGUACUUCUUCCUACUAGCUACGGUGCAGCACCUGUUCCUAGCUACGAUGCUACUCCUGUCCGGCCCUUGAUUUAUCACCACUUUGGUCUUUUAUUGGUCAUUGAUUUAUAGACGGGAGGAUAGGUUCCCUGGCUCGACCCCCCAGAUAUCGAUUUAGCAUUCCAUUAUCGGAUCUCCGAAACGGGAAACAAGAAAAGUAAUCGAAAUCGUGUGCCAGCUGGACAUAUGAAAUUCACACUUUUUGACUCUCAAUCCACAGGUGUAGAUACCAGGGGUGGGUUUUCAUGGCCUGUAGUCUCCCCUGCCAAUGAAGCACGAACUACUUGUUGAAAUCGCGGAUCCAAAUCUUGCAUUUCUCCUUUACUCGUCAAAGGCCUUGUAUUGUUAUUCCCAUGAUCAUGUGGGCUAUCCGCUCUUUAUUGUAGGGUCCUACUCCCACCUAUCCUUAAAAAAUGAUGUGAGUGGCUCAUACUAAUCAAAUGUACAAGUAACUGACCCUUAUCAAGCUUUCCACACAUAGUGUUUUUAUCUAAGAUUGCAAUUCUUCCAUGUUUCCGCAGUAGCAUAUUGUUCCAUGGAGCUAGGGUCCAAAAUAGGAAUCAACAAGUGUUUCCACGACUCUACCGCCCGGCCAAUCCUGUUCCACUGAAUCCCCUCCCUUUUUCAUGGCCACAUAUCUUUAUGGCUAAGGAGUGGGAAAUCUUUCUCCUGUUACACAAAUCAAAUGUUUCAUUUCAUCCGGGAAAAGCCACCUCUUUCUCCACAAACAAUGUCUUUGUCAUUUGAUCAUGUUUUUAUCUGUUAGAUAGGAACAGCUUUGCUAAAUACUGAGAACUCUCGGAUAGAGUAUUAGAAUGAAAAGACCAUUAAUUAUAUAAGGAAGAACCCAGGGUUCUAGCCCAUUCCCAUUCCUAAAUCAAUAAUUCGUAGUGCUUUUGCCUUUCUUGCGUACUCCUGGUGAACCAGUUGCUAGCCAUAUGUUUAGGAGGCUAUUUUCUCCUAUUAAGUAAGAUUCUUAAGCUUAAUAAGCCCAAAGAUCGAAAAGUAUGGACCAUUUUGAAAUAAAACCGGACCAUUUGUAAAUCAAAAUAGAAAAAUAAAUCUAGCUACUCUCUUCUCUAUCUCCUUCAGAAAAAGAAAGCUAAGGCAAUUGGUGUUGAAUAAACAAAACCACACCGAACCAGUCAGGAGUUUUCAGAGAUUAUGCCCAGCGUCACAUGACACCACUUCAUUGUAUGCAACACGAGGAACCGAUCAAGAAAGAUGAAGCAGACAUGCACAAGUUCAAGAGCGAGGUCAGACAAGCAUGUAUCAGAACAGCAACAUGAUCAAGGCUGCAGCUGCUGCUGCGAGGACUAACGUCACAAGGGAAAUCCGGCAGGAACUGAAGGCCACCGAUCCCGACCAAUCGCGCGGCACGAACGUCGAAAGCUCCUCCAUAGUCGACGGGGGCACUUCACUUGUCCUGGGGCGGCAGCAGCACGGACAUGCACAACUAAUUUCAAUUAGUACACCCGAAGUAUGAUCAAUGAUUCCGCAAAGAUAUUAAUUCCAGUGUAGUGUUCAAACGAUCAAAUGGAUGAGAUGAUCAACGAUUGCUCAGAUUAAAAAACUGGAAGGUACAGUUACAACUUAACAGAUCUGUGCACUCAGAGUUUGAGAAGACUAUAUAUAUAGCAUCUGCAUCACUAGGACACUCGAUACUGUAAUUAGUAGGCAGUUACAAGUUAAUAGAACAGAUGCUGCGAGUAGAAGAAUUGAAUCAAUAAUCAGUUUUAUCAUACAAUCAAGUUUGAAUCUGUAUUCCUAUAGCCCUAUAGCAGCAUAUAACAAGAAAUGGAGAGAACACCUCAAGUGAAAAUAAAAAAAUUCCGUUUUGUUGUGGGCAGAUGAGCAGGGAUCAUAUGGUGUGAAAGCCGAAAUGGCCAAGAGUCUCUGAAUGGCAUUAGUGGCCGCAGAUUCUCCGAAUUACUAGACAAGCAGAAAAACGUUUACCUGGAGACAUUUUAGGUGUGGGAGGUGAGUCAGGUGUGAAAUGCAUCUCAGGAAGCGACUUGAGCCCUGUUUCAAAUGGGGGAAACAAAUAAAUGAAAAAAAAUAAAAUUGGUACAUUCAAAAGAACUGCUCAACUGAUCAGUAAUCAUGACUAACCAUAGCAAAAAAGCACAGUAAUAAUAUCCCUAAGAGUAGCAUCCAGAGCUCGCUGGUAAUCCGCAUCUCUCACCAACCAUCACCAAUGUAGCUUCACAAGGACUCACAAGAACAAGGAUAGGAGUGCAUAAACUUAUUUUGUAACUUGUUCGGUGAUCAAGAACACGCGCAUAGGGAGCACAAGAAUCGAUCGAAGCAUAUACUCGCCAUCAAGAAGGGACAAGUUUCUCCCCCCGGCCCUACUCCCCAACCAACCCACCGAACUAACUCCAUACAUUCAUCAUCAUACAUUGCGUACCGUGCAUUUUUCCUCUUCCUUCCAUACUGUGCACGAGGCCUUUGGCUACUCAAUUUAUUUUCUUUUGCUUCUUCUCUAUUCUACAUAGACCCGGCAAUCUCCGUCCGACAAAAGCAUACUUUUUGAGUACUCUAAAGAAAUAUAGCCCAUUGCGCCGGCUUUAGGAUUAUGCUUACUCCUACUAUGGAGAAAACCAAAGGAGUCUGACUAGCAUUUCUUCGUAUGAAGUACGUACUUGUUCUUCACCGUGAAAGCUCUACAGGUUUCGGAAUCCGAGGCCUUCAAGUUCAACCAUAGACGUAGAAGCAAACCAGUACUUAAGCAUCGAGCGAAUGAGAGAUGAGUGAGACGCCUUUAGCUCCUAGAAUGCCUUCUUCAACUUUGCUAUACGCAAUUCGUGCGCUAAAUAGAACUGCUAGACUACGUCGAGUUGUGACCACUCAUGCCUCUAAAGAGCGAGGCAAAGGAUAACACUAGGGCGGAGCUCCACCUUUUGUUCUUCCAGCUCGGACUCCUAAACUAGAAACUAUAUAAGAGGCACGAGAUGAUCAGGUGUGUUCACUAAAGCUCGACAUGAUGAAAGCUUAUGAGAACUUCACUGCUAUAGCUGAUACGGGAUCUAAUGACUUAUUUCUUAAAAUAGGGUUUUGUGACUACCGAAAGUUUCUCUUUUCAUGACACAGGGGGGUCUCUGUGGCCCUAGUUUCUUUGGCCCAUUUGAAAUGAGCUACGAAUAGGUCCUACUUCAGACAAUCCUUCGUUGUCCCUUCAGAGGAGAUGAGUGGGAUGACGAAUGAGUUCUUUAAACAUCUCUAUACUGCUGAAGGUACUGAAAGAAUGGAGGAUGUUCAUUCUGUCGACAGUUCCUCGGAAAGUAUCUCAGGCAAUGAAUGAGCAAUUGACUGCUCCCUUUACUGGUUCUGAAGUGUGACCUUUAUAAGAUGUACCCUGAAAGGCCCCUGGCCCGGACGGCUAUCCAGCCCACUUUUUUUCAGCGAAGGUGGGAUUUCUAUGGUGAUGAGGUUAGUGACUUCAGUUACCUUCUCGGUUCUUUUCAAUGGGGAGCGUCCUAAGGAAUUCAAACCUUCUCAGGGACUACGCCAGGGAGAUCCAAUCUCUUCGUACUUAUUCUUGUUAGCAGCAGUUUAGGUAUUCGAAAUAGCGAAAUACAUAAAUUAUCUAUCUCAAGUACGUCUCGUACUUAUCUUGAGCCAUCAGUCAGAUUGAAUGCAGCGCCCUGCCGGCAGCUCCUGACCUCUGUUCCUAUGGGGGAAAGAAGGUGUGGCUUUGGACCCCAAACUCUUCCAUGACGCCCUUCUUCUUAUAGCGUGGGUAAGUGAUCAAUACAGACAAAAAUCACACCCAUUGGAUCCAUCCUGAUACGAUUGGGUGAUUUGCACGUUCCCUUAAGAACAAGCACACACACUAAAUCCUGAAAAGAAAGAUAGAUGCUCAUCUUCACACUGAUAGCAGCAGGCUCACUACAUACGUUGUCCAACCCACCUUGUAAGACAUCUUUCCUCGGAUAGCCAAGCGAAAGAGGAGGUCUCAAGCGUGCAAAAACACAUGUAUGAGCUGGAAAAGAUGUGCAAUCACGAUCAGAGAUUGUAGAUAACGGAUCUCUCAGGCACCGGUUUCCCUCAGUUCAGGAAGGGAAGCGAGCUUUCAAGGGUCCAAGGAUAAAAAAGGUAAUUAAUAUGUCUCCAACUGAAGUGAUAGAUAAAGACUUUACCCAUUGGCAAGGAACGCUUGGAGGAGUGAAACAACGAUUCCGCCUAGCGUAGGACACAUAUAUUUGAUCCAAUCUAGCACCGUAGCCAGCCCCACCCACGGGUGAAAUUGUAUAGCACCCUAUCUCGUUGAAAGCCCCUUUGCUUACGGAAGAGAAGAGUUGGAUGCCGUGGUGGGAAAGCUCCCGUUUCAACUUUGCUUCUUGUAAGCUUCAGUAUAAAUAGCUCACUUGCGGGAUCUAAUCUUAUUCUAUGGGAACAGCUUUCAUUUCUAUCUUUUGGCUUAAAGAAUGCAUUGGAGCUGUGAUAAGGGGUAGAAGUAUUCGUGUGGGGUGGGUUUCGAAGGGAAGGUUGCAUAAUAGAUCGGAGAUCCUUUGAGGAAGACUGAAAUGACUAUACUUAUAGAAUGGUCCAUAUCGAACAGAUACGAUACUGGUUUACACAGAGAAUAUCGCCUAGCUCUAAAACGGCAGCACCUGAGUGCAACUUAGAGUAAGAAAGAACGACCUUCUGCUAACUUUCUACCGGGGCAUUGUUUUAACAACUUUAGCUGAUUGAUCUACGAAUGGAGGGAUUCAAGCUUAUUUUUGUUAACCGAGAUGCAAACGACUAACAAACUGGAUUCGAAGCCACCUGUCGUAAUAGUACCUGCGGGUUCUUUCUGUGGAGCCUUCAAAUGCAAUAGCUAGCUGCCCAACAGCCAAUGCCACAGGCAAAUCUCCAUUUUCCAACUUAUACAACUCUUUGGGGUCCAAAGAUACUCGCCAUUGCAACUUAAUAAAUAGGACCAGUGGGAUCGCCAUCAACAGAUAUAUUUGUUUCACUACUUUCGUACACUUUGUUUUCGUCAUGUGGAUGACCCGCAGACCGUAGAUAAGAUGGAUACCCACGUACUGCCUUCAAUGAAGAGAGUUUUACCAAGGACCCUUAGACAGAUACGGGGGACAGACAAGAGGUAUGCAACCUGCUGAAUAUUGUCACCGAAUCGCUCACUGACAAAUACUUGGGGCUCCCCUCCCUGGUAGGAGUGGAUAGGAGCGAUUGCUUCCAACACUUAAUUGAGAGAGUUUGCACUCGGAUUAAUGGCUGCAAAGAGGAAGGGGUAAUUGGCUCCGCCAUGGAGACCGAAAUACGAGCUUCUUUCAUCACAUCAUUUUGCAACGGAGAAAAAAGAAGAACAUAAUAAAGUUUCUGAAUGACUCAAACGGCAACAGGAUCGAAGGUAAUGACCAGUUAGCAUCUCUGAUACAGGGUUACUUUGAUGGACUGUUCACCUCAGAAGUCCUAGCUCCCGACCCUGGGCUACUGGGGAAAGUAAACAUGCGAGUAACUGAAGAAAUGAACGCAAGCCUCUUGGCUCCGUUCACGGCAGAUGAAGUAAAGGCAGCACUCUGAAUUCAAUCGGGAGUUAGGUACAGUAAUCUUCAGAUAUGACAAUACCUCCCACAAAGCAUUGUCAAGUGUUGGAAUUAGGGAACCAACCACGAAUAGGAGCUGUAUAGAACUCCAGAAAGAGACCUUUGAUGAAGUCGGCAUCCUCCCAAGUGGCAUUUGCUUGAUCCAAACUAGCCCACUUCCUUGGUUGCUGAAAAACCAUGCAACGCAAGUAAUUUUCCACACACUGAUUCACACAUUCUGUCUGGCCAUCUGAUUGUGGGUGAUAGGCAGAGCUAAACCUCAAUUUCACUUGCAGUGCUUUGAGGAAGGCCUGCCACAUGUUACUUGUGAAUAUCCAGUUUCUAUCAGAGACUAUUGACUUUGGCAAUCCAUUCCACUUAAAAACAUUAUCCAUGAAAGCAUGAGAGACUGAUUGUACUGUAUAAGGGUGAGCAAGGGGAACGAAAUGAGAAUAUUUAGUGAACCUGUCCACCACCAACAAUAUGACUUCUUUGCCAAAUGAUUUGGGAAGACCCUCAAAGAAAUCCAAGGAGAUGUCAGUCCAAGCAGAAGUAGGUAAUGGCAGUGGAUCUAGGAGACCAGGGUAGUGGCAAUGCUCUCCCUUGACUCUUUGGCAAACUGCAAACUCAUGUAGAAAAGUUUCAAUCUCCUAGCCUGGCGCCAAUCAAAUAGCUUUUUUACCCUUUGAUAAGUAGCCACAAUGCCUGAAUGGCCUCCUAUGGGAGAUUUGUGAAGUGAAUCAAUGAUUUGGUGUUUAAGAACAGCAUCUGAUCCCACAUAUAUUCUUCCUUUAUAUCUCAAAAUGCCAGAAUGAAGAGUAUAAGGGGGUGCUGCAUUGGCUGAUACAGUGAGCUUCUCAAGCAGAGAUUUGCAGUGAUCAUCAUUAGUGUAGUUGGUUACUAUAGUUAAAGCCCAAGCAGGAGUAACUGCAGUGACUGCCAUCAUAAGAGAAUCUCUUUUGCUCAAAGCAUCUGUAACCUUGUUUUCUUUUUUUUUGUAUUCAAUCUUGUAAUUGAAUUCAAGCAAUUUUCACAUAAGCUUGUGCUGGAUGCCCUUAGAGACUUUUUGUUCUGUGAUGUAUUUAAGGCUCUGUUGAUCAGUUUUGAUCAAUAAAAGAAUUGGGAACCAAGAAAGUAGUGGCGCCAUCUCUUCAAGGAUUCACAAAUAGCUAAAGCUUCUCCUUAUCAUAAGUUGACAUAGCUGCAUUUCUCGGUCCAAGGGUUUUACUAAAAUAAGCAAUUGGUCUGCCUUGUUGCAUGAGGACAGAACCAAUACCUUGACCUGAUGCAUCUAUUUAAAAAGUAAAUGGUAGGGUCAAAUCAGGCAAAGCCAUAACAGGAGCAGUGACCAGACAAUUCUUCAAUGUUGUGAAGGCCUCAAUUUGAGCAUCUGACCACUGUAAUGAUUCUUUUUUUAGAGAGUCAUGAAGUGGCCUAGAAUUUAUCCCAUAAUUCUUGACAAAUCUUCUUUUUCUGCAGCCAUACCAAGAAAACUCCUCAACUGAGUGAUAGUCUUAGGUGCUGGCCAUUCUUUGAUGGCAACUAUUUUGUGGGGGUCUGUAGAUAGACCAUAUCCUUAGAUAACAUGCCCUAAAUACUCCACUUGAGGGACAGGAAAACUGCAUUUGCUAAUCUUAGCAUAUAGUUUUUAUGACCUUAGAAUGUCCAGGACUAACUUUAGAUGCUUGAGAUGAGCUUGUUUGGUCUUGCUAUAUAUCAGAAUAUCAUCAAAGAAUGCCAAAAGGUAUUUUCGGAGCAAAAACAUGAUUCAUUAAAGAUUGGAAGGUAGAAGGUGCAUUAGUGAGUCCAAAUGGCAUCACUAAGUAUUCAUAAUGACAAAAAUAUGUCCUAAAAUUUUGGAAUGUCUUCUCUUCUCAUUCUUAUCUGAUGAUAACCUGAUCUCAAAUCAAGUUUGGAAAACAGUUGUGCACCAUGUAGCUCAUCUAAUAGAUCCUCAAUGACAAGAAUAUUGAAUUGAUUUUCUGCACUUAACCCGAAAGCAAGUUUGAAAACAAGACCUGCUCUAUGAAGUGAUGGAAGUAGUGAAGGUUUAGGCUUCGAAUCUAUGAAGUUCAGGUUUUGGAGUAGAGGUCAGAGGCUAGUGCGGGUAGCCCUGUCGGAAACUAGAAAGAAGAGGCUGAUGCACCUGCUCGGCGGUGGGUGGGUUUAGCUCGAUCAACUGGGAUAGGAGUUUUUUCUCUAUCUUGCUCCAUGGUGUUCAAGCAGUGCGUCCAGAAAGCUGUGAUUCAUGGGAGGGAGCAGCUUCAAUAGCUUUGGCUGUGAAAACUCUUGGUCUUGGAGCAUCAGUGUCAUCAGUUCACCCAAGAUCAGUAGGACAAAUAACUACUAGGUUUGUGCCAGAAAAGCGUCUUGCGUGACGGGGAAAGAGUGGAAAAAUAAAGAGAUUCAUCAGCUAUAGAAUCUGACAGGUAUCGGUAUUGAACAGAGAGGGCUGUUCACAAAGCAUCCCAUGGAUGGUAAUGGUGCUUCCCCAGCUGUUGUUCCUUCUCCUUUGGCUGGUGCCAAAUAAGGUGACUUUGCCCGCAGAACGAUGUAACCAUGCUGGUAGUACUAUGAUUGCCUUAGAGCGCAGAUGUCUCUGUCCCUAGGAACGUGAUGCUUAGGUGCGAGGUGAAACACAAGCAGGAGAUCGAGAAAAGAAAUCAUACGGAUUGCAACCUACAGAUGAAGAAUCAGCUUCAUUGUUCCCACCAUCUAUAUCAGAUGUUUAAUAAGAAUAGGAAUCGAAUAAGUUGUUGAUUGACUGAGGAAGCAUUUGAAAAGAAAGGAAGGGUGAUGCUUGUUAAACAAAGCUGCGUGUGGGGCCGCCACGUAUAGCUGUAGUUUCUGCUGUAGCAUCGGUUAUUUCCGUUAUUGCUGUAGUAGCAUCGGUUAUUGCUCAGGUUACGAAUGACCCAAUGUAUCUAUGGCAACCACCCCCACUUUUAGUAGAUGGAGAUGCGCACCUAGAAAAGACAGAUGAAAGAGAACCUGCCCUUCUGACUUCUUCUCUUGUCUGUCCUUUAUGCAAAGCGAUCUAUGGUCUCAACAAGCCUCGAUAGCAUCGGUUUUUGAAGUUCAACACAGUGGUUAUGUUAUCCAGGCAGGGUUUGCUUGGAGUGAUCAUGAUUCGGCCAUGUUCGUAUAAGUUUAUCCUCGAGGACGUGCUAUUCUGUUGUUGUAUGUUGAUGAUAUCAAACUGACUGGUGAUUACUCCAUUACAAUAUCGCUGAUCAAGUGUCGCCUUCAUCAGUUAUUUGCUAUGAAGGCGCUGACGCGCCCUAAGCCUUUUCUUGGCUUGGAGGUUGCACAUUCUCCUCGUGGAUAUUUGGUAUCUCAGAUCAAAUAACGUCAUGACUUGGUCACUCGAGCUCAACUCAACGAUGAGAAGACUGUUGACACUCCCUUGGAGCUUUACGUUAAACUCCGUCUGACUGAUGGCUCACCAUUAUCUGAUCCGACGCAGUACAAACAGUAGGUUGGCAGUUUGGUUUAUCUGACGAUCUCUUGCCGAGAUGGCUUUUCCUAAGAAAGUCAGCCUUUCAUGGCUGCCCCCCGGUCAGUUCACUUUGCAGCAGUUCAUCAGAUUCUUAGAUAUAUUCGAGGUACCUUUUCUCGAGCCAUCCUUUUUUCCGUCAUCGUCUUCUUUAGAGUUGCGUGCAACUACUGAUGCCGAUUGGGCCUUAAGAUAGGUGCUAAACUACAGGCUUAUCUAUUUUAUGGGGAGACGAGAGACUAUCUUGGAUGAGAUAAAAGCAAUAAAUAGUUGCUCCUUCCACUGCCGAAGCGGAGUACCGUGCCAUGGCACACUACUAGAUAGAUUGUAUGGCUCCGUUGGUGACUUUCUGGUCGCGGGUUUCAUUUGAAAAACCCCAACGCCAUUCAUCUUGCGUCAAAUCCGAUCUUCCAUGCAAGAUUUUCAUUUUUGGCCACUACUACGUUCGUCGAAAACUUCUUGAUGGCACCAUCAUCUCAUUACCUUAUUUUUUCCCUUCGACUUCGGCUAUGACCAAUGCCCCACCUAGCUGAAUAGGCGUAACAAAGCUACCUGAAAAAGGCAAGGUGCACCUUAGAUUGAAAUCGACAGAUUGCAUUUUGCCAGAUGGAUUCUUUAGAAAGAUUCCCGGAAAAAGUUCAGUAUAAUAUUUAGUUAGAAUCUAAAUAAAGGCGCAUACGUGGGCGGGCAGGGGGCCCCACUACUUCUUCAUUCAGGGGGGGCUAGCUUCAUGACUUCCCACUAGGCGAGGGGUGCACCUAAGCCACCUACUCACUCAUCAAUUACGGUGUUCAGCUGACUUGCACAGAAAGACCCCUAUUGUUUAGUAAUUUGGUGCCCCAUCUUUUGAUUGAUUGUUGUCAACUAAUCUUUUCAAUGUUCUAUUCUACUCUAUGUUAGAACAUUUCUGUGAAUGCUAUUUCGAUCUAAGUGGUCCUAUUCUCUGUCCCAUGCUAGGAAGCAUUACUCCUCUUUUCAUUCCAAAUUCUUCAAUAAGACCGAUACGAUUGAUUGGUCUGUGCGUUUCUCUUAUUACUUUUUGUAUCCCCCUGUUCCUUGGAUACAAUUCGAUCCUUCUACGGCCAAAUCUCAAUUUGUGGAAAGCCUUUGAUGGCUUCCUUAUGAAAACAUCCAUUUGUAUAUGGGUAUAGACGGUCUUUCAUUAUUCUUCGUGAUAUUGACCACAUUUCUGAUCCCUAUUUGCAUUUCAGUGGGUUGGUCUGGUAUGAGAAGUUUUGGGAAAGAGUAUAUUACAGCAUUUCUAAUUUGUGAAUUUCUAAUGAUCGCCGUGUCUUGCAUGCUGGAUCCUCUACUAUUCUAUGUUCUUUCCGAAAGCGUGCCAAUCCCUAUGUUGUGCGGAGCUGAGCAUCUUCUAUUCGCUGGGAUCAAGCUUUUCCUCCGCAGGGGCCUUGUGUAGUAAACCCCCUACGGGCGGUCCCCCAUCAUCGUAAAGUAGUAAAGGUCCCCGUGAAGCCUUCGGGAAGAGGGGUAGUCUUGUGCGUAAGCAUAGCAUUUCUGGUCGAACCAUCAAACCACACAUCUUUUUUUGGUGGGAGGGUACUCCGAGUAGUGGGUACCUCGUAGGACCUCGACCCACCUACUCAGGUCUUGUAUGGAUAUGCAGGAAGGGGUGCUCCUAGGUGUGUGUAGGGGGUGUGUUUGUUCGCGAGAAUGAAUUCCUUGUCAAGUCAGGGGGUGUGUGGACACACUUGCGCGAAUUCGGGUAACGGCUACAAGGGAUAAAAAUAAAGGAAACUGUACCCGACCAGGGAUGGACGUAAACUCGUAAGCUACUGAGGGUAGGGAUAAUCGUCCAGGUCUUAUUUAAAAAAAAGCCGACCCGCCACUGCAGGCAGGUUAGUUCCUCUAUCGUUGCCGGAGAGUUCUUGGCGAAGAGACCUUAGGAUAAGUUGCUAAAACAAACGGAGGGGAGGAUCGACCCAUUCAGUAGAAUUCCGAAGAAAGACUGUUGGCUGCAGGUGGAGACAUUUCUUUGGCCCCCUUCCAAAUAAAUGCGGGCAGGGUAGAGCUCGGCAGAGGGUUCGAGAAUAGGGUAGGGUUUUUUACGGUCGGGUCCCAUACCACUAGUCCGGCUAGCCUUCUUUCGGGCAGGAAGCAGGCCUAAACGACGGGCAGGCAUCUCCCGCUACGCAAGCAGCAUUGUUCGCCACCACCCGAGAAGCAAAAGAUUCGAGAGUCAAGGCGGAAAAGACAAGCAUAGUGGUCUAAUGACAAGGGCCAACGACGGAAGCUCGGGACGGAGCCGUAUGAUGCGGGAGUCUCACAUACGGUUCCCUGAGAAGGGAGUGGCUACCCGCUGGAGCUUCGACCAACUACCACCGGUCAAUUCCGCUUUGGGGCCACCCCUGACUCUAUCAUCAUUAUAGGGGUAUGGGGUUCGAGACAAAGAAAGAUCAAGGCAGCAUAUCAGUUUUUCCUAUAUACUUUACUUGGAUCCGUUUUUAUGCUAUUAGCUAUUCUGUUGAUUCUUCUCCAAACAGGAACUACCGAUUUACAAAUUUUAUUAACCACUGAAUUUAGUGAGCGGCGCCAAAUCCUUCUAUGGAUUGCUUUUUUCGCCUCUUUUGCCAUCAAAGUGCCUAUGGUACCAGUUCAUAUUUGGUUACCCGAAGCCCAUGUAGAGGCACCUAUGGCUGGAUCCGUCAUCUUGGCUGGAAUUCUUUUAAAAUUGGGAACCUACGGGUUUUUAAGAUUUUCCAUACCCAUGUUUCCCGAGGCGACACUUUGUUUCACUCCUUUCAUUUAUACUCUAAGCGUGAUUGCUAUAAUAUAUACUUCCUUGACCACUUUAAGACAGAUCGAACUUAAGAAUAUCAUUGCCUACUCCUCAGUAGCCCAUAUGAAUUUGGUGACUAUUGGUAUGUUUAGUCGGGCGGCGGCCGUUAGGUCACCUAUUUUGAGUUAUGGACACACAAGCAAGGCCAAAACAUGUGUGCCGGGCAUGCGACCCAUCAACCUACUAGCAAUAGGGGAGAAAACUUAGCAUGUCUCAACAAAAGCGUCGAUUCGAGGCGUCAGCAAAACACCACCGUCUGUUCCUAAAACAAAACCCCUUAGCGCCCCGGGACGGGAGUGGGGGAUGGCCCUACGCAGACAGCAGCAGCACCAGCUCUACAAAGUCCGAAUCGAAUCUUUCGGUUGGCUUUCCCGUGAAUAAGAAUUGUUGGGCGUGGCGAAGCGAGCGCUUCUAGCUGUUUCGCUUGCUUCUUUCUUAUCGUGGCGGCUAUUAUGGCGUGGCUAAAAUGAACGAAAAGCGAGAUGAUUCAAAUCGAUUGAUAGAUGGCCUGAUCUGUUCUGAUAGAUCGAAAGGUUUUCUAUCAAUAAUAAGGGUUGACCUCUUUCUAUCUAUUGAUGAAACAAGAUAUCUAUCUAUUCUGGAUCCAUCAGAAAGAAAUCGGUAUGUAUCUUAUUUUUUCUACAUCGUAUGUAGAGCACCCAAGCGUUUGGCCAGCUCAGUUCUAUUAUCCAUCGGUCCAAUGCACUGGCUCAUCUCAUGGAGGGAAAAAGCAAAUGUAGUUAGUUGUCUUGUUGUUGUUCGCCGCCUCAACACAUUCCCCGGCAUCGUCCCACACAAAAAGAACGAGCGUGGAGCCCCGGCCCGACCUGUAAGUCCGCUAACGUAAAGCGAGGAGUUGAGCCUGAACUGGCGAACCGAAGUCACUUUCGUAACCAUACUUCCUACAGCUAACACGUGUCCAGUCCAGCAGGAACGCGAAGCGCAAACGAACGUGAGCUGCUAUACCGAAUCCCCCGCUGGCCAUCGGGGACCUAGUGGUAAGGCCAUGAUCCACAGGGGAAGGGAUCACUCAUUCUUCUAUUGGGGACAGGUGCACGAAUGACAACUCCAAACGUCAGACAUCCACCGCCUAUACCUACCGUUUAGGUGGCACCAGCGAGAUCCAGCUAAGGUAAGGAACUUCGUGUCGCGGCUGCUCCACUCCAUUGCGGUCUUUUGAACUGAACUUCGUUGCCUUCCCGCGCGCGAAACGAAUAGGCGUUNNNNNNNNNNNNNNNNNNNNNNNNNNNNNNNNNNNNNNNNNNNNNNNNNNNNNNNNNNNNNNNNNNNNNNNNNNNNNNNNNNNNNNNNNNNNNNNNNNNNNNNNNNNNNNNNNNNNNNNNNNNNNNNNNNNNNNNNNNNNNNNNNNNNNNNNNNNNNNNNNNNNNNNNNNNNNNNNNNNNNNNNNNNNNNNNNNNNNNNNNNNNNNNNNNNNNNNNNNNNNNNNNNNNNNNNNNNNNNNNNNNNNNNNNNNNNNNNNNNNNNNNNNNNNNNNNNNNNNNNNNNNNNNNNNNNNNNNNNNNNNNNNNNNNNNNNNNCGACGAGCCAUUUCGCGAAUCAAUAGAAUGUCUCUCUAUCCUUAUCUAUUCUAUCUUUAUAUGACGGGCCAUAAAAAAAGAAGUAUUUUUUAUGGCAUGCGGGAUGAUCGCGCCUAGUAGCCACAUAUCAGCUGCGCUCAAUAUGCGGGAUUUCUGUUGGAUCAGAUCUUUCGCUUUGACGAAUUUGGACCUAGCAAAAAGGACUCUAAGCCUUCGCGCAAACAAGCAAAGUAGAAGCAAGACGAGGAAUCGGAGCUGUCGUAGAAGCAGUAGCUUCCCCCGACAAUAUACAAUACAACAGUAGCGACCAUGAAUAAAAAAGCCCCUUGUUUAACGAGUUCGCUGCUUUUCCCAGGCCGGAGAAGGGCAACUACUUAUUGAUUGAUCGCCUUUCUUUGAUAUGUGUUCAAUUUAGUACAAUACAAACUACAACUAGAUCAAAGCGGAAGGGCCACUCACUAUAGAAGCUAUAACUAGAAAAGCCCUAGCCAAUAGUUUAGUAGUCGGUCAAACCCCCAUGCUCACGACAUGUUCUUGAUAUUGAUUGAGUUGGAGGGAGUCAGAGACUACCACGGAAUCCUUCCAUAGUCACCCCGGUGACCUUCGUCACCAAAGCGUCACGAUAGUUUCCAAGACCCCUCAUAUAAUCUCCAGUGGGGAUCAGUCGGAGCACGUAGGAAUGCCGACCACUACUUAAGCCACGUCUGGCUGAGGCGAGCAGCAAGCGGGGGAGAGUAUUUUGAAGUACAAGAACGUUGGGGUGGGACGCUAGUACUUAAACUAGGGUUGCUUCUUACCGCUAAUCUUGCGUUUUUCAGCAGUUAGUUGUAGCGCGCCUUCCCUCCUUCUCUCAUUUCGGAAAGAUUUGGCAGUAUUUUCUUAUGAUGACCUGGUCGAGAGAGUACGAAACAUCGGUGUAAAAGAUUCAGUGGGAUGGUUAUAGUAAGGGGUGAACCAAGUGCUUGCGCGAAGAAGCGAAUCAAUCAGAAUGGAGACAAGGAAAGGAAUCGAGGCCCGGCCCAGUAGCGAUGCAUCUCACGCGGAUGGGAGUUACUUUUCUUUAUCACCGUAAGCGUUAUGAAAUGGACCCGCAUUCCCCUUUGCUUUUCUUUUGCAACUAAGCUUAAAAGAAACAUAGUAGUCUUUCAAGCCAUUAGAAAACUCAUUAAGUGCUCUGUUGAGUGAAUGUCUGUUGAGAAGCUUAGGUCAUACAUUUCCAGCUAAUUAGAAUACAACCAUGAAGGUGGGGUUCGAAUGCCAUACAACUAUUUAUUCUGGUAAGUAGGAUUGGAAUGUAGUCCCUUUUUAUUGGAUCCGCCGCUCCGUUAAGUGAAAUUCAAAGUAGGUGUGGGUCUAGGUAGAGGAAGUCAUAAAUCAAGUAUCAAGUAUUGUUAUAAAUAUCGUAUAUAGUAGUUGCCAAACUCAUAAGCAUCACACACUUCGAUCUACUUUAUUGAAUAACUUAGCUAGAUAGAACCGACUCAAGCCUUUAAAUGAAAGAAGCAAUAAUGACAUAAUUUCUGUCUCAAGACCUCUUGCAGCUAUAGCCAAUGCAGCACCUCCUUGAUCAACAUACAACACAGCCCAUUACGCCUUGCUCCAGUCGCAGUAUAAAGAGAGACUAGAACCUACCGGGGAGCCCUCGGCAGAGUCCCUAUCGUUGUUGCAACAAUUACACACAGAGUUCCAGAAUUUCACAUUUGUGAGAAGAAAGGGUAUGUGUGUUUGAAAGGAGUGGUGCAAGAACGUAUUCUGAGCCUCAGUCAACACAACUUGUUUCGCCUUUUCCGAACAACAUUCUUAUCAGGACCCUCCUUUAUAUAAACCACUCGUAGAUAUAUACCUGCCUGUGGCCUCAGAUGAAUACAUCGAUAGAUAAGAAGGGAAAUGCAUCAUCUAGAAAGGCUUACUGAGGUUUAGGGACGUUUGUGUGAUGGAUCGUACGCUUACUCAUGACGACUUGGCUAUUCAAUAAAGGACGGAGUCAACGUGAUCCUUAGGGUCCAAAAAUAUUCCAUUGGUGUCAGCUAUUAGCGAUUAUUCAAAUUCGUAAUGGUAUAAAUUAUUGGUCAAUUCCACUGAUUCUUCUUUCCCGUUCCUUCACUGGCUAUAGCGCCUUACCUCUUCUGUGACUUGUCAUGAGAUGAGAAGUAUCAAAAGUGUCGGGUUUGGGUUUAUGUCAUGCUAGACUCAUGUUUCUCGUUCUUACGCCGGGUCUGCGACCUUACAAGGAUACACAAGCUGGUGAAGGUUUUGGAGAAGCAGCAAGCUGUUCGGAUUCAACUUAGCUUUGAGCAGGCCUCGGGCGAGGAAAUGCUUUGGAUGUGCCAGGAGAUAGUCGGCUCAGGGGCUUUUGGGCGGAGCCAAAGUGGUCCACAUACGUACCAUUUCCAUCAUCACAAGAUCCCCUUUUUCUGUGUGCAUAGAGAUAAAGCAUGCUCUUAUAUUUAGAUAAGAGAGAGAUUUUUCUCAGCGCCUCCCCUUAUCGGCUUGAUCUUCUUCUGCCCCUCGGUAGAAUGAGUCUACUUAGCGAACUGGCAGGAUGCGGAGAUCGAUUGAUCAAUAUGCAUAUCGAGCAUCUACAGUUAUUCUCUCUUCCCAAAAGAUAUCUCAAGUCGCUUCCAACAUUUUGAUGAGUAAGGGAGGGUAUUUUCAACAAGAUAACUAUGGACGACCAUCUUCCAAUUUCCAUUUUAUAUCUUUCAUUGGGUAAGUAAGGGGAAUAAGCAAGAACGGUGGAAAGCUUAAGAAAGUGCUAGUUCCUUUGCUGCGAAUGGGUGGAAUUGGUAUCCCCAAAAGGUUUUUCUCUUAAAACCUCUGGCAAGGGGGUGUGGAAGAGUUCAAGUCUAUCCCUUUGGUUAAGCUACUGUUGUUAUACAUCUCUACUAUUAUGGGCCACCACUUACUUAAAGGAAGUCGAGUACACAUUUCCUUCAACCUGAAGGGCGAGGACCUGCAACGACGUAACGUUUGAAAGAAAAGUAACCAGCAUAGGAGAGUGAUCAGAAAGCAUAAGACUCGAGGGAGGGUUGGCUAAUCAAAUUAGAAUGAAGAUUCCGCUCUAUAUGAUAAACGUUGGUUGACUUUGAUAUGAAGUGUUGAUUGUGUUUUCUAUUCGUUCAGACCCCGAUAGUGCUUCUCAUUGUGACUGAAGGAAGGUUCAUUCUAUGCAAGAUAUAUGCUAGUUUACAAGCAUGAGACCCUCCUUUCGGGCCGGUAGACAGAGGCCUCAGUUCCAACGAAAUGGGGAGCAAAAAGAGGUCGUGUCAUACCAUAUAGAUGAAAUGAAUGAAAGAUAUUCCUGCUGUUUCUGUGCCUAUUAGUACUUCGCUCUGACCACGUCAAGAGGAGUAGUUUGUUUUUCUUUUGUAAAGCGAGCCCAAGGAAAUAUAUAGGAGAACAUAGCUUGUUUUGUAGUAAGUAAAUUCAAAGGCGCAAAUCGUCUAUAUCAAUGCAAGUAUAUUUGGAUGGAGUGACUCGUGCUUUCGAACCAUAAACUAAUGCCGCCUCUCGGAAGCGCGUGUUACUAUUCCAUUCUCUGGAGCACAAUCCAACGAAAAAAAAGUAUGUUUCCAACCUACACCUUUAGUUGUUCUAGCUCAUGAGGAAGACGACUAUGGAAUUCAGAUUUCCUUUCUCUCGAAGCAAGCCAGUCCUUAAUUAAUGAUAGGGAAGGAAGGAAUUGCUCUUAGGCUUGUGAGUCUUUUUAUCAUAUGGAUGGGUCGUACAACCCUUACAUGGUCUCUUGGCAUGAAAUUGGGUACUUUUCGUCUAUGGCGAGAUGGAAGUUAUCUGCAAAGAAUGCCAACUUAGGACCGUCAAAGUGGCAAUCGUAUCAACCCACCGAAACCGCUCUUUGGAAUGGAAUGCAUAGUAUUGUGCAUUGGAAUGGAAAAGUCGAAUAAUCAAUACAUGGAUCUAGUAUCAACAUGACCCAACUUCCAUUCUCAUGACCCAACUUAUUCAAUCACUUCCAUUAUCUUUCUAUUGCUACAAAUCGACAACAAAAAACAUCCCUCGGAAUUCCUGUUCGAUAGGAAAAAAUAGCUCUUCAACCAGAAAUAGCAAGCAACAUGUUUUCCUUCUCUCUUCCGGGCACACACCCUAUCGGGUGACGCCACUGACAAACACCCUAAAGGGGAAUGCAACACUUCCUAUAACAGAAAAAGCAAUAUCUGAAAUCUUUAAGCAACUAAAAAGACGUAUACUAAAAGAUAUGUGUUGAAAAGGGAUGGUCAAUAACAAGAUGAACCCAAUGCCCAAUCUUCCCAAUAGUAUUCCUUAACUCUUGAAUUGAUACACUUGUUCAUGGCAUCUAUUCUCUAUCUUCACUUUUCACCUUCUCAUCCUUAACCUCAGUGAUCUGUUCCUCCUAGACAUCCUUCUGCGUACAAAAACAGAAGAAGAAGCACGGGCAUAAAUCAAUAGAAUAGUUAAGUUUCAGAAGUCUUUUUUGAUUGGUAUAUCAAUCAUGGUUUAUAGGGAAAUAGUUAGAAUAGGAAAGCUCUGUUAGUUACUAAUGUUUGGGUUUUUGUUUACGGCAAUAGUAGGUUUCUUGCUUGUCAUAUUUAGAAUAUAAGCAUCAGUUACAUUUGACGUCCAGCCUUUUUAUAGAAGAGAAAGGAAGGUUAAGGGCAAGGGCGCAGCAUAAUAUAUAAGAAAAACUUGCUCUUUGAGGGGAAAUUUUUCCAACUAGACUGAUAAAUGAGAAAAAGUACCAGUCGUACCAAGAACCAAAGGCGCUAGCUUUCAUUGAUAUAUAUAUCGUAUCUUUUAGCUGAAAAAUCUAUGGAUAAGAACCGACUCUGGGAGGAGGGGUGGCGCGACAGAGCAAUGAAAAGCUGGGAUCGUUCCUUAUCUUCGGUACUGACGCCUUUUCCUUUUGUAUGAGAAAGCGCUACAAAACAUCCUUCUCGCGGGUUAUCUUCUACUCAAGCAAGCUCUCUCCUAUUCUUCAUCCACCAACUAGCAGGAACAUAGGAGCACAAGAGGGUCAUCAUCUUUUGAAAUGAUUGGCUUUCGAUCUGCUUUCCAAGAGGUGGUUUCUGACAUGACCAGAAAGAGUGGAAUUAUUGUUAGGAUUGGCAUGUCAAGUUGCUUUCUCGGACCCUAACAUAAACCACCUUAUCCUCACUCAGAUUGUUCUUUUGGACUGAGGAGAAGCACGACCUCUAUCUGACGUUUUCUCUAUGCCUUCUAAUCUCUCAAUGGCAUUUCCAUCUCUCGAUUCAAUCAAUCAAGUAAGUCCGGAUGACACUUGUCUUUAUUUAGUGUUUUCCCGGCUAUUCAGCCAUUACUUGCAUCUCAGAUUCUUUGUACCCUUUUUUAGUGCCAUGCACACUGAGGUUUCUGGCAUGACCGAAUCUUUUGAGAAUAUCGCUUAUUAUGUUAAUUUCUUCGUCUUGAUGUACUCAAUCCAUUCAAAUUCCAUAAUUCCAAUGCUAUAAUCCCUAUAUUAAGAUGAAAUAAGAAAGCAUCAGUCCUCUUAUUUUCUGUCUUCUAUGAAAGAAUGUAGCUUGCUCUUUUAACCCGGGGCCCCCUCUGGGGAACUGUUUGAGUUUUAGCAUCGACCCCAUUUCCUUUUGAUCGUAUUAAGCUUGACUCGCUGCAAAACAUUUCGCUUUCUGCGCCACGCUCAUACGUGGUUUACACUCCUACCCUUUCAUCUGACUUUGCCAUCAAGCAAUUGUUUGUUUUCAACUGGAUUGGAUUCCGAACCAAGAAAGAUAGGCAACUUUCACUUCAAAGAAAGGAGCUUCAGAACUCUUGUAUUCCACCGAUUAAGAAUAAGAAAAAGAAUAAGAGCAAGAAGGGGCUAUCUUUGUGAAGGGACCGGCACCAGAAAGUAGAUCAUAUGGCCUUUCUUUCGCCAAAGUCAAGUAAAGCCCCAGCCCAAGAAAUGCAGCAAAGCAAGUCGUCUUUGGUUUGGAGCGAAAUUACUUGAUCGAGUGCCUUACCUGAAAUCGACGAUAUAAAGUGGACUCUUCAGCUUGCUCCGACAGAGGUCUCCUUCUCCCUUAGCAGCGAGACCAGUCCCUACCUCUUUUCAAUCAAUCUUUCAUACUGUAUGCCUUUUCUACGCCUAAAACAAGUUCAUGUCUCUCCUCUCUGAAGUCGGACCUUAUUGAAAAGUAGUACGCUUUCUUUCAUGGUGUUCAGGAUCCCAUGCUUUGUAGUUCACGCAUGGCUUUCUCUAACGAAGCUAAUGCCGAAUUAAAGACCUUAAACGGAAAGACACAGGAGGUGGCGAAAAACAAAAAAAGAUAAAGAUCUUACAAACUUCUCUGAACCCGGUAGCCAGCGGAGCCCUUAUUCAUGGGUUAGGGACUAGCAUUGAACAAAGCUGGUGACAGCCGAAGAAAAAGUGAAAGGGCAAGUAAAUAAUCUAAACAUGCGGGUAAGCAGCAAAAAAAGAAUAAAAGUAACGCGCCCUACCUGUUAGUAAAGUAAGGCCUUCUAGAGCCUAUCUAACACAGACAUACACGCGGAUGAGGACACAGAAAUAAAUGGACGUUGAUCCGGUACUGAAAUUCCGUAGCAAAAAAUGCAAUAUGUUCAUACUUGAUGAAACGCACAUCAUCCAAUUCAUGAUUUAAGAACAAGAGAACGAGAUAUUUACUUUUUUUACAUCUGUAACUACAUUCUCACAUUUCUUUUUUGAUCUCAUGACUUUUUAUGCGAUCGGAAAACGAAUGAGAUCAGAAAGGCCAUCAUUGGGGCAAACAAUGCAAUAGCUUCGGUGAGAGCAAAGCCCAAAAUGGCAUAACCAAAUGAUUGUUUAGACAAUGAUAGAUUUCUCGCCACGGAAUGAAUCAAAGAACUGAGAACGUUUCCAAUACCGAUAGCAGCUCUAGCUAAAGCAAUUGUAGCAGCUCCGGCACCUAUUGAUUUAGCACCUUCUAACAUCUCGAGUCGAGAAAACACUUUUCUUGUCACGUUUUU
rnacentral:lncRNA from 1 species